GGGCUGGUAGGACUUGUAGGCUAGGUCCCAAGAGGCUGGGAGAGGGGCUGGGGAUGAGCGGCUGCUGUGGAAAUUUCCAUGAGCUGCCCACCAGCUUUUGGGACACACUGGACUCCAUGUGGCUUGGGGAGAACCUGGGUUAUGAAAGAGGUACAAGACGUGGUCCCAGCUCAUGAGGAGCUAAGUCCCUGGAGAAAGGAGUCAGAGUGCUUGCCAAGAAAGCAAGUGAACAAACAGGUUUCAAAAUCUUAAGCCAAAGUUGAAAAUAAGGUCAAGGCAUGGAACAGAGCCAGGAAAAGUCAAUAUCACCUUCCAAUUAUUAGAACCCCAUUUCACCUCCUAAGGAGAAUGUUGAAAAUACUUCAUAUUAAGCAUGUUGAAAAGAAAUUAUUCUGAAAGAAAAAAAACAAUAGACUCUUGAGAUGGCAGACACGCUCCAUGCACAGGUAGGAAAAAGUGUUAAGGGAAGGAGUUCCAUGAUCCCUCAAUAUGGCAUUGCCCAAAUUGUGGUUGUGAAGGUAGAAUGGGAAAUUCAUCUAUAUUUAAAACAGUGAUGGAAGCUGGGUAUUUUGUUUGUUUAUUUGAUGCGGGGGAUGGAACCCAUGGUCUCCUUUAUGCCAGGACAGUGGUGAUGCUGACUCAGGAGGCAUUUGAAGAUGGAUUGGAAGAAGUUGCCCACAGAUUUGAUGUGAGGAGAUGGGAGCAAUYAAGAAGACCUCACAGAAUUCCCAUUGUUCUGGUUCUGAAGCAAUUAUUUGACAGGGACAUGGGAAACCAUAAAGGAGAAGCUCAGCUAAUAACAAUAUAAAGACACUUCUGAUAAAUAGAAACAGAAUCAAGGGUGAUUUAGGUUGCUUUAAUCACUCUGUAUGGAUUUUUUAAUUGUAUUAAUGAUGAUCACAUUUGUGUUCCAUUCAAAGGUUCAUUUUAUAUAGAUAAGUGCUUGCCAAGAAUGUAUAACAUUAAAGUCAAAAUA